rnacentral:rRNA from 1 species
GAUCAUGGCUCAGGAUGAACGCUAGCUACAGGCUUAACACAUGCAAGUCGAGGGGCAGCAUGGUCUUAGCUUGCUAAGGCCGAUGGCGACCGGCGCACGGGUGAGUAACGCGUAUCCAACCUGCCUUACACUCUUGGGACAGCCUUCUGAAAGGGAGAUUAAUACAAGAUGUUAUCAUGAGUAAGCAUUUUCGCAUGAUUAAAGGUUUACCGGUGUUAAGAUGGGGAUAGCG